GUUGAUCCUGGCUCAGAACGAACGCUGGCGGCGUGCUUAAUACAUGCAAGUUGUGCGAGAAAGUAUCCUUCGGGAUGCGAGUACAGCGGCGAACGGGUGAGUAACACGUAAGCAACCUGCCCCUAAAUCCGGGAUAACCCUGCCAACGCGGGGCUAAUACCGGAUGUGGUUGAAAGGUCGCAUGAUUUUUCAAUUAAAGGUGACCUCUUCUUGAAAGUUACUGUUUAGGGAUGGGCUUGCGGACCAUUAGCUUGUUGGUGAGGUAACGGCUCACCAAGGCUGCGAUGGUUAGCCGACCUGAGAGGGUGAUCGGCCACAUUGGGACUGAGAUACGGCCCAGACUCCUACGGGAGGCAGCAGUAGGGAAUUUUGCGCAAUGGACGAAAGUCUGACGCAGCAACGCCGCGUGAGGGAUGAAGGCCUUCGGGUUGUAAACCUCUGUUGAGUGAGAAGAAAAGCAUGCGGGAUAAUACUCCGCGUGUCUGACGGUAUCACUCGAGGAAGCCCCGGCUAACUACGUGCCAGCAGCCGCGGUAAUACGUAGGGGGCAAGCGUUGUUCGGAAUUACUGGGUGUAAAGGGAGCGUAGGUGGAAAGGUAAGUUAGGAGUGAAAGAUACGGGCUUAACCCGUAGUCCGCUUUUAAUACUGUCUUUCUUGAGUAUGGGAGAGGAUGACGGAAUUCCUGGUGUAGCGGUGGAAUGCGUAGAUAUCAGGAAGAACACCGGUUGCGAAGGCGGUCAUCUGGCCCAAUACUGACGCUGAGGCUCGAAAGCUGGGGGAGCGAACAGGAUUAGAUACCCUGGUAGUCCCAGCCGUAAACGAUGGACACUAGAUGCUGGAAGAGUCAAUCCUUUCAGUGUCGUAGCUAACGCGUUAAGUGUCCCGNCUGGGGAGUA
rnacentral:rRNA from 1 species